rfam:Schistosoma rodhaini strain Burundi genome assembly, scaffold: SROB_scaffold0000016
GUCCAGUUGACGAGUCCCAAAUUGGACAAGACGUGCGUCCUGGAU